CAGCCGCCGCGGUAAUACGUAGGUGGCAAGCGUUGUCCGGAAUUAUUGGGCGUAAAGAGCGCGUAGGCUGGUCUUUAAGUGAGUGGUGAAAGGUUCGGGCUCAACCCGGACACUGCCUUUCAUACUGGGGACCUUGAGUGUGGGAGAGGCGAGUGGAAUGGUCGGUGUAGCGGUGAAAUGUGUAGAUAUCGAUCGGAACACCCAUGGCGAAGGCAGCUCGCUGGCCUAACACUGACGCUGAGGCGCGAAAGCGUGGGGAGCAAACAGGAUUAGAUACCCCCGUAGUCCCUGUCUCUUAUAA
rnacentral:rRNA from 1 species